CCUUUAGAACCAAAGAGGCAAUGGAUACUCUGCGCCCGCUGGCGCCCGCCUGGCCUUGGUCGUCACGGCUCACGUCACGGAAACCUCACGAGGUGCCCCUCGCCUUGAUCUCUCCACUCCUCUCGAGCCAGCCAGUGAGGCCGUCCCUGAGGUCUUGUUUCGUCCGCCUCGCGAGGCUUGGCCCCUCGCGAGGGUCUUGAGUGUUUGCUGGUGAAGAUGGGCCGUACCAGGCCGCAGCUGGAGCCACGCCGUGGGCCGCAGCCAGGCAAGUCUGGGGACCCCCGUUCCGAGAACGCCGACAAAACCCCCAGGCCCACCCAUGCAAAGGGUUCAGCACCCACACCAUACACACACAUGGCUAGGAGAAGCAAGAGAGCUAGCCCUGCCCUUCUUCCUCUAGCAUACAACUCAAGGAGCAAGCUUGUAGUCCAUCUGAUCAUAAUCAUCAUGCGGAGACCCCGCAGAGCAGGACUAGGGGUGUUAUCUCCUCGAAGAGCCCCGAACCUGGGUAAGACUCGUGUGCGUUCGAGAUCUCGCCCACUCCCGCUUUCAGGGCCCGAUGACGUCCUCCUGUCCCCAUCCAUGAUAAGCCACCCCCUAGCAUCUGUCGCGAGAAUACCCCGACAGUUGGCGCCCACCAUGGGGCUAGGCGCAGCGUCGGCCGGAGACAUGUUCUGGACGGGAACCCUCUUCCUCUUCGGCGAGCACGUCGCGGCCGGCCUGAUCAGCCAGCCCGAUGCGCUCGUUGGCGCAUGCACCAACGCAUCACCUGACGCGGGAGCACCUGCCCCGCUAGCUGCCUCGCUGACCUCCUCGGCAAGGUCAGCCUCCCUGACGAGCCCGCACCCGGUGCGGGAGCGGCCUGCCCCGCGAGCUGCUUCGUCGACCUCUUCGACAUGCUCGGCAUCUCCGACGAGCCCGCCUCCGACGCGGAGUCCGUUGGCUCCGUUGACCCCUUCAUCGAGCCCGUUGAGAUGCUCAUCGACUCCGAUGCGGCCUCCACCAACGGGUUCCCCGUCGACGUGGUGGUCAUUGACGACCCGCUCCCUCCUAUCGCCAGCAACGCCGAAGCCGGCAUCAUCGCGGAGGUGCUGGUCACUGGCCGUAGCGGGGACUCUGUUGGGGUCGCCUAGGACCCGCUGCGAGCGGCCAUGCAGGGCCUGGCCACCCCCGUUGCUGCCAACGCCGAUGGAGCGACACUGGAGGCGUUCCGUGUGACGCUCCUUGACAGCGCCAACAAGAUGGCGGCCAUGAGGCGCCGCGCCGAGGCCUGCCAGCGCGAGAUCGACCGCAUCGAGGGUGGCAUGCCGGCUGCUGGCGAGCCCAGCCGAGCCGGCGCGAUUCGGAGAUGCGGCGCGGCCAUUGCCACCAUGCUGGGAGCCGGACGCCCCGUCUACGCUACCCCAGUGGAGAACCUGCGUGCCGCCCAGGUGGCGGCAGAAGAAUUGGAUCACCUAGAGGGCGACGAGCGGUGUAGCCAGAUGGCGCGCCUCCAAGAGCUCAACGCUGCGACCAUGCAGCAAGAUGUGUGCCGCCGCACGAUGGCAGCCGGCAAGCAAGCCGAAACCCAUCCCCCCGCUGUGAGCAUGGAGCGACCUCCCGGUCCCCAACAGGCGGCGACUGCGAUCCGCGGAACCCGAAGCUGGCUCGCUCGGUCCCUGGCCGUAGAAGAGGAAGACACGAUCGGCCCGGCCUGCUUCGGCCCCCGCAUCCGCGACGAGCCCUUCCCCAAAGGGUUCUCGCUUCCUCGAGACACUCCCAAAUACAACGGCUCCGUGAAGCCGGAGGACUGGCUGACCGACUACUCGAUGGCGGUCAGCAUAGCAAACGGCAACAAGCGCGUUGCCGUGAAGUACGUUCUGCUCAUGCUCCAGGGCACGGCCCGAACAUGACUGAACAGCUUCAAGCCCUACAGCGUCAAUGGCUGGACUUCGCUGAUGUCUUCAUCCACAACUUCACCUGCAUCUACAAGCGGCCUCCCAAGCCUCGCCAGCUCUCCAUGUGCGUUUAGGGGUCGACCGAGUCCACCCGUGACUACCUGACGGGCUGGGCCGAGCUGCGCAACUCCUGCGAAGGGGUGCACGAGGUGCAGGCCAUCGAGUACUUCACUGCCGGGUGUAGAGGGCACUCUGCUCAAGCACAAGCUCCUGUGCGAUGAGCCGGCUACAUUGGACGAGCUCCUGGUCGUGGCGGACAAAUACGCCACGGCCGACUCCUCCAUGAAGUCGGAGAUCCGGGUUGACGCGUCCGGAAAGGUGAUCCAGCCGGCCUCUCAAGCUCCGGCUGGUGACUCCAACCGGCAAGGUCCAGCAGCCGGCUUCCAACAGCCGGCAAGUGGCAACCGUCGAAGACCAGCAGCCAAAAGGGCAACCCGGCCCCAAGCGUUAGAAGGGCGGCAAGGGUGCUUGGCUGCCCGCCUUCUCCUUCGAGCAAGCCCUCGAUGCUCCAUGCAAGUUCCACAGCGACGCGAAGCCGUCCAACCACACCACUCGGAAGUGCAACUGGCUCGCCCGGAUCGCCAAGGGCGAGGCCCUGCCGCCUCCUCCAGCCGGCGCGGCGGCUCCGCCUCCUCAGCAGCCUGCGCCCCGCCCAGUCGGCAUGCUCCAAGACGAGUCCCCCGACGCCAACGCCACCUACGUCGUCUUCACCAGUGGAGCCCACGACAAGCACAGCCGGCGCCAGCACCAUCGCGAGGUGAAUGCUGUCGCCUCAGAGGUCCCCCAAUUCAUGCACUGGUCCGAGAGGCCCAUCAGCUGGAGCCGUGAUGACCACCCGGCCGUGAUGCCCUCGCCAGGUGCCUACGCAAUGGUGCUGGACUCCACCUUCUCAAUAGAGAGGCGGGAUUGCCGCUUCUUCCGGAUCGUGAUAGACGGCGGUAGCAGCAUCAACAUCCUCUACCGCGACACCAUGGAGAAGCUGGGCAUCAAGGAGAAGCAGCUCUUGCCCAGUCGGACCGUCUUCCAUGGCAUCGUCCCCGGACUUUCCUGCUCCCCAAUCGGCAAGAUCAAGAUUGACGUCCUGUUCGGCGACAAGACCCACUUCCGCCGCGAGCCAAUCUUGCUUGAGGUGGUUAACUUGGACAACCCCUACCACGCGCUCUUGGGCCAGCCCGCACUGGCCAAAUUCAUGGCGGUGCCGCAUUAUGCUUACCUGAAGAUGAAGAUGCCGGGUCCCAAUGGCAUCAUCACCAUUGCCGGCCACUACCAGAAGUCGGUCACGUGCGCUGCUGCCAGCAGUCGGCUGGCCGAGUCCCUCGUCAUCGCCGAAGAGAAGCGCCUCCUUGAUCGGGCAGUGGCCAUGGCCAACGAGCAGCCGGCCAUACCAUCCGACCCCAAGGACGCGGAGGCCCAGGGCUCCUUCCAGUCGGCCAAGGAAACCAAGAAGAUCGCCUUGGACCCGGCGCACCCGGAGAGAUUUGCUGUCGUGGGGUCUCACCUCGACAACAAAUAGGAAAGCGAGCUCGUCGUCUUCCUCCGUGAGAAUCGGGACAUCUUCGCAUGGUCUCCCAAAGACAUGCCGGGUGUUCCGAAGGAUUUCGCCGAGCACAAGCUACAUGUGAGAUCGGGUGGAAAACCGGUCAAGCAACCCCUUCGCCGCCUGUCAGAAGAGAAGAGAAGGAUCGUUGGUGAAGAAAUCUCCCGGCUUCUGGCAGCUGACUUCAUCAUGGAAGUGUUUUACCCGGACUGGCUUGCCAACCCAGUCCUCGUUUUGAAGAACAAGUGGCGCAUGUGUAUCGACUACACUAGCCUCAACAAAGCCUGCCCCAAGGACCCUUUUGCCUUGCCCCGAAUAGAUCAAGUGAUCGACUCCACGGCCGGCUCCGAGCUGAUGUCCUUCUUGGACGCCUACUCCGGCUACCACUAGAUCAAGCUGGACCCGGCCGAUCAGCUGAAGACCGCCUUCAUCACACCAUUCGGAGCCUUCUGCUACCUGACCAUGACGUUCGGCUUAAGAAAUGCCGGCGCCACCUUUCAGCAUUGCAUGCAAAAGUGCCUCCUCAAGCAACUCGGCAGGAACGCCCACGUCUAUGUGGACGAUAUUGUGGUGAAGACGGAGAAACGCGACACCCUUUUGGAGGACCUUAAGGAGACCUUCGACAACCUGCGCCAUUUUCAGAUCAAGCUCAACCCGGAGAAGUGUGUCUUCGGAGUACCAGCCGGCCAGCUCCUUGGUUUCCUUGUCUCUAAGUGCGGGAUCGAGUGCAACCCUGUGAAGAUCAAGGCCAUCGAGCGGAUGUAGAGGCCGACCCGACUGCGGGACGUCCAGAAGUUCAUCGGGUGCUUGGCAUCUCUCAGCCGGUUCAUCAGUCGGCUGGGCGAGAAGGCCCUCCCACUGUACCAGUUGAUGAAGAAGACCACAAGCUUCGAGUGGACCGACCAGGCUCCAGCUCAGGCGGAUGCUGUCCACGCCGCCUGUUCUGGCCGCGCCGACUGCUAAAGAGCCCAUGUUCCUCUACAUCGCCGCUACCAGCCGGGUGGUCAGCACCGUGAUCGUGGUCGAGCGCCCAGAAGACGGCAGGGCCCAACCAUUCCAGAGGCCGCCUCCAAGCAGAACUACCCCCACUACCAGAAGAUGUGCUAUGGCGUGUACUUUGCCGCCAAGAAGCUGAAGCAAUACUUCCAGGAGCACACCAUCACGGUCGUCUGCACCGCCCCCCUUGCCGAGAUCAUAGGCAACAGAGAUGCCUUGGGUCGAGUGGCCAAGUGGGCCAUUGAAUUGGCCCCACACACCAUCCUCUACCAGCCCUGCACCGCCAUCAAGUCCCAAGCGCUGGCCGACUUCCUAGUCGACUGGGCUGAGACCCAGUACCUGCCGCCAGCGCCGGAUUCUACCCAUUGGCGGAUGCACUUUGAUGGCUCGAAUAUGCGCACCGGUUUGGGAGCCGGCAUUGUCCUCAACUCUCCCAAAGGCGACAAGCUCAAAUACACGCUGCAGAUCCACUUUGCCGCCUCCAACAACGUGGCCGAGUACGAGGCGCUCAUCCACGGGCUCCGGCUAGCCAAGGAGAUCGACAUCUGCCGGAUUCUGUGCUAUGGCGACUCGGACUUGGUGGUCCAACAGUCUUCCGGCGACUGGGACGCCAAGGACGCCAACAUGGUGGGCUACCGCUUCCUCGUCCAGCAGAUCAGCGGGCACUUCGACGGGUGCGAGUUCCUUCACGUGCCACGGGCCGACAAAGAGCAAGCCGACGACCUGGCACGGAUUGGCUCCACCCGGCAAGCCAUACCAGCCGGCGUCUCCCUCGAGUGCCUGCGCAAGUCGUCUAUCAAGCCUUUGCCGGAAUCAGAGUCCAUCUUCGUGCCGGUUGACCCCGAAGCAGUCGGACCGGCUCGGGGACUUCAGCAGUCGGCCCGGGGACUUCGACAAGCGGCCCGAGGGCUGCAGCACCCGAACCCGGCCCGGGGACUUCAGAACCCGGCCCGGGGACUACAGCAGUCGGCCCGGAGACUUCAACGAUGCAGCAAGCAGCGGCCGGCUCCGACCCGCCGCCUUCCCACCCGACCGCCCUGGUGCCGGUGGUAGAAGCUCCAUAUUGGGCGCAGCCCAUCCUCAGCUUUCUGAUGAGCUGAGAGCUAUCAGCCGACGAGAUCUUGGCCCGGCAGGUGCAACGCCGGGCGGCAGCAUACAAUAUAGUCAACAGAGAGCUUGUCAGGUGCAGUGUGACUGGCGUUUUCCAGCGCUGCGUAGAGCCGGAGAAGGGCAUAACAAUCCUAAGAGAUAUCCAUCAAGGCGAAUGUGGCCACCAUGCUGCCUCCAAAGCCCUUGUCGCCAAAGCUUUCCGCCAUGGCUUCUUUUGGCUGACUGCUUUGGACGACGCCAAGGAGUUGGUCCGCAAGUGCAAGGGAUGCCAGCGCUUCAGCUCCAAGCAGCACCUGCCGGCUUCUGCACUGAAGACCAUCCCCCUCACUUGGCCGUUUGCCGUGUGGGGGUUGGACAUGGCGGGCCCAUUCAAGACAGUACGUGGCGGCAUGACCCAUUUGCUGGUUGCCGUGGACAAGUUCACGAAGUGGAUUGAGGCGAGGCCAAUCAAAAAGCUGAAUGGUCCGACUGCCGUCACAUUCAUUGCGGAUAUCACCGUUCGGUACGGCAUCCCGCACAGCAUCAUCACCGACAACGACACGAACUUCGCCAAAGGCCUUGGCCCGUUUCUGCACGACGCUUGACUAGCUACGCUCUAGACGGCCGAAGUAACUUGCAUAUUCUAAACGGCCAAGUCCUUGACCCGGCCACAGUCCGCAGCGCGGCUGUCCAGCUGGCAAGGCGGCAGCCAAAGGAAGACGGCAAAAGAAAAGGCCGACAAAAGCAAAGGCAAAACCAAGCCAGAACCCGGCAAAGACACAAGCAUGUGGAAGUAAAUUAUUUACAUAGCGAAAGGCCCAAGGCCAGCAUUGAGACAGAGUUUCGAAAUACACCCCCAGUGGGUGGAACUGCGGACGAUUAACUUGUUUUUUGAGUACAAGACAGAGAAAUUUUAAAAGAGAUAAAGGGCCGCCUAGGCCAAGGGCGCUGCUGGCGGCGUGGACAGGUUGGCGGUGGCUGAGGCGCCGGCUGGUAGGGCGUCCGGCUGUUGGGUCUCGGCUUGGUCGGCGUCGACGGCGGCUGACGUGGUCUCCCGCGGCUCGCUGGCUGAGGCCCGAUCGGGCUGAGUCCGGCUGGUCGCUCCGCCGUCUGGUGCGACGUCCUCGCCUUCCUCGUCCUCGUCACUGGAGGCGAUCUCCUCCGCCGAGUCCUCCCCCUCGUUCGGGUCCAGCCCGAACCAGGAUGGCGGCACCUCAGUGUCGUCUUCCGCCCGCUCCGGGGUGAAGACGCCGACGUCGGCGUAGUCGGCAAGGGUCGCCGCGCGCUUGAUGAUCUCAUCACGUGCCGCCUCCAGCUUUGGUCCCGCCUCCUGGCGGAAGGCGGCCAGCUGAGCCAAUCUUACGUCCGGGUGCCACGCCUUGACGAACUCCAGCGUCGCCCUGGCGCCCGCCCGAGCUGCGGCACCCUUCCAGGCCUCAAGCCGCUCGGCCGCCACCUCCAGCCAGUCGGCAGUCCGACUAGGAGUCCGAGGAAUCUGCUCAUCCGGCCAAAGCCCCGCUAGGACCUGCGACCCGGCGCGCUGAAGUCGGCGGAGCAGGCGGUGCGCUGGCUCAAGGCGCAUCUUGUAGGCCAUGAGCUGCUCGCCUAGAGUCCGGGGCUGGUUCUGCGGAAUGUCCGCGCCCGUCCUCCUCCGCUGAUCACGCUGCGCUUCGAUUGCCUGACAGACGGCAACGGAGCGACUGGGGAAAUACUCUGUGCAAAAGAAGACCAAGAUUUAAAAGUUGGCCUCCUGUAGCAGCCGGCGACCAAGCAACAAAGGAAGAAAGGAUUUACCUUCGACCAUAUCCUCGAUCACCCCGUAGCCGUCAUACAGCAGCUUCUCCCUCUCGGCCCAGUCCGAGCGCUCGGUCUCGAACUCGGCCUUGAGGAGCGCCUCCCCGUCCUUCAGCUGCCGGACCAACGCCUUGUGCUGGGCCGCCUGGUCCGCCAACUCCUUCGCAAGACGGUCGCGCUUUGCGACCGCCUAGCUGCGCUCUAGCUCCUUGGCCUGGAGCUUGCUCUCGAGCUCGCCCAUGCGCGUCCUCAUAUGGGCGGCAACCUCUGCACGAAGCAAGAAAGAAGCGUCAACAUCGACAAAAAGAAGUCGCCGGAAGAUCCGGCCUCACUGCUCAGCAGUCGGCCCGAAUCUCGGGGGCUACACCCAGCGGGUGCGCUUGCGCGCCCCCACUGAAAGCCGGCCUACGUACCAUGGCUCUGCUGCUCGGUGGUCCGGGUGGCGAGUGUCUUGCUCUGGGCGUUGAAGGCAGCCGCACGCAUGUUGUGGUAGUCCUGCAGCAAGCACGACACGUCAGCAUUCGGAAAUACGCCUUAAAGUUCCAACCGCCUGCUCAGCAGCCGGCUUGGAACUCGGGGGCUACACCUAGUGGGUGCGCUGGCGCGCCCCCACUGAAGAUCACAAAAAUAAGAAGCAAGAUAGAGAGCGUACCCGGACGGACGUCUGCAUCGCCAGCAUCUUGCUCCUGGCCUGCAGAAGGGUGGCGCCAUGGGCGUUGAACUUGUCCAGGACGUCUUGGACCGCAAGGUUCAGGGCGGCCGGGCCGGGUCCUGGCGACCAACCAGGCGGAGCGGCGCUGGUGGCCUCGGUAUCACCCGUCGGCGGACUCAUGGCCGCGAUUCCCACCGUCCUCGGCGCGGAGAACGCCGGCACCCGGCGCGAGCUCGCGGAGGCGCGCGUUGUCACGGCCUGGCUUGGCACCAGCUCGGUGCUGGCCGGUGGCACCUCCGGCCCUUCGGGCCGGCCAUCACCCCGCUCAUCAGCACCCGGCGCGCGCUGAGCGUUCUACGGGACGAUGGGGUCGGUCGCCCCCUGCCCCGGCGCCGUCUGGCCGGCUUCGCCUCCUCCAGUCGGCGUCCGGUCCUCCACCAUCGGCGGCUCCGGCUGCUGCGGAUUAGUGCCCUCUGGAACCACGAUGCGGGCCAAGUCCUCCGCGGCCUUUGCGUCGGCCUCCGCCUGUGCCACGCUUGCCGCCUCGGCCUUCUGUCGCGCCGCGGCGUCCCUCUCCUCCCGCGCCUCCCGCGCGUUCCUCUCCGUCGCCUCCCGAAGGGCGGCAGCCGGGUCCACGCCGCGGGCAUCCUCAGGGCCGCCUGACGCCCCGAUCACCAAGGCAGAAGGGGCCCGUGACACAGAAAGGGGAGCCCUGCGCGGCAAGGCAAGCGAAGCUAAGAAGCUGCGAGAAAGAAGCAAGCGCAAAUAGGAAACUCGCAAGAGAGGGAAAAAGCCAAGACAAAACAAUCAAAACAAGAGCAGUCGAAACACUUGCGCGGACACCAUCGGGCGCUGCUUCGGGGUCCUCCGGACGGCAGCCGCCUUCGCGGCCUCUUCGCGGCUCCUUUGGGUGGACUUGGCCUUCUUGGUCGGCCGGCUGCCGAACAUCCCCACGUCGGCGCGGCGCUUAGACGUGCCGGGUGCUCCGGUCGGCGCCCCGCCUGUUGGCCGCACCGCUGAGGAGCCGGCACCCGCCCUGUCGGCGCCUUCUGGGCGGCGUUGUUCGUCGCCGUCCUCGUCGUCGUCGGGCCAGUCCCGGAUGUCGUCACCUCCUCCCACGCCGCCUCCCGCAGCUCCGCCUGCACCACCGCCGCCUCCCCCGGCGGCGUCGUCCUCCUCCAACGCAGCCGCCCCCAGCUUGGGGUCGCCUACGUCGCUCACCUCCCGGUCUGCCAUCCACUGGUGGCCAGGAGCCGGUCUGGCGGCGUUCGCCUGGCCAACAAAGGGCUGCGCCGCAUUCGGAUGCUCAGGGCGGAUGAAGAGAGCGGCGUGAGCGAAGAAAGGAGGCCAGACACUCACCGCAGGCGGAGGGUGUGCGCGGUGGUACGGCAGCUUGUCGAAGCUCCAGUCCUCCUCGCUGAGCUGGCUGUUGGAGAAGUAGUUCACGUGCCGAACAACCUCAACAGUCGGCAGCUCCUUCGUCGACAUCCGGCAGGGGUCCCGGCGGCCGCUCAUAUCGCAGAUGGGAUGCGGCUGGAGCUGGAGGGACGACACCCGGCAGUACACGAAGGCGGCCAGCAGGUCCGCCGGCUGGAGCCCCUCCGACUCCGUCAUCUCCUGGAGUUGGUCGAGGGCGUUAACGAUGGCAGUCGGCGGCGGCUUGCCGGGUUGCUAGCCCCAGUUGUUCCGCAGCUCAGCAGGCGGCCCGGGCACGAAGGCCGGCAGGUUGACGUAGUCGUUAGUUGGGUGGACGUUGCGGACAUAGAAGUACGACUUCUGCCACAACUUUGCCGACUCGUGUAGAGCGAUGGGCGGAAACCGAGUCCCGGAAGGGGUGCGCCGCACGGCGACGCAAGCGCCGCACUGGGCCGACUCGCCCUUAGCCGCGGUGCCGAGCUUGAGGUAGAAGAACCUGCCCCACAGCUCGAGUGUGGGCAGGACACCGAGGUAACCUUCGCAGAGCGUGACGAAGGCGGAGAGGAGAACCACCGUAUUCGGCGUGAGGUGGUGAGGCUGCAGCCGAUAGAAGUCGAGGAACUUCUUGAAGAAGCUGCUCGCCGGCAAGCCGAAGCCCCGAAGGAAAUGGCUGCGGAAGACGACAUACUCUCCGGCCUGCGGCGCCGGCGAGAUCUCCCGCUCGGCCGGAAGGCGCGUCUUCAGGCAGGCCUCGUUGGGUAUCCGCCGCGUCGCGCGGAGGAACUCGACGUGCCCGUCGUGGACGUUCGAGCCAUCCCACUCGCCCCCCGCCAUGUCUUGAGCUUGCCUGGUGGCGGCGCGACGAGGUUGGGUGGCGGCGAGGCUAGGCACCGGCGGGCUGCAGCAGCACUUCGGUGGCGGAGCGGCGUGGCGGAGACCCCGCAGAGCAGAACUAGGGGUGUUAUCUCCUCGAAGAGCCCCGAACCAGGGUAAGACUCGUGUGCGUUCGAGAUCUCGCCCACUCCCGCUUCCGGGGCCCGACGACGUCCUCCUGUCCCCAUCCAUGAUAAGCCACCCCCUGGCAUCUGUCGCGAGAAUACCCCGACAUUUAUAUUUUUGAGCUGGAUGCUCCAAAUUUUCUAUGCAAAUUUGGUGCUUUAUGAGUUGGAUAUUCGGAAUUAUCUAAUUAUAGUUUAUUUGGUCAUAUAUGAUAAAUCCGUCCAUGUUGCAUAUAUGUGGAUGGCUGGAUGCUCUGUUGACUUUUUGAGGGAUAUUUCAUUAAUCCUGCACAAUCCUUUCUUAAUAAUGAGAAUUGUGGUACUCCCUCUGGUUCAGAAAUAUGAGGCGUAUUUUGACUGUCCAAGCUCUAUAUUUUGCUGCACACCUUCUCAGCUUUGGCAUUGAAAGAACUAAACCACAGAAACCUGAAGGAUAGGUGCACAUCUCCAGAUGCAAUGCCUAUGAAAGAACUCAUUGCUGUUGCCCAAGUUAGAAGGUUCUCUCGGUCAACUUUCUUUUCAGAUAACUUCUUGAACGGCAAGUAUAUUUCCAAACUUUUAGUCAGCACACCUCUUAAGGAAGGACAGGGACAGCUUUCACCUUCGAAUCGGAUAGUCAGGUCCACCUCUACAAAUGACAGUGUUCAUUCUAGGAGUCCUUCUGAUAACCCACAAGAGAAGGAUGUGAAAAAAGUAGCAAGGAGCAACGAGGCUAAUGCAGCACGGAAGGCUUUUGGAGCUUUUCUUGGUACACUGACAAGAACAAAAGAAAACAUAGCACAUGCAACACGUCUUGCUAUUGAUUGCGCUAAACAUGGCAUUGCUUGGGAGGUUAGACCAUGCAUAUCUGUACUUUGUUUUUACUGUUAGAUCUUUGCCGUUAUGCUUUUUUAGGGUUGUCAUGAGUUUCUUGUUUGUAGAUUUAUUCAACACGGUCAAUUUUUGUACUUGUUGGUGAAUUGGCAAUUAUUUGGGUUCUUCGUUUACUUAGCCUGGUUUGAUGCCAUGUUCUUCAUGCCAACCACCAGUUCUUCUAUAUUAUUUGCUGUGGGGAAUCACUGGGUAGCUCAAUGGUGGCAUAUGGUGGUGCUACUAAGGAACCCUUGUUUGAUUCCACCUCCCUUUUAAGAACACGUCAGAGCGUCUUUAUUAUAUUAUGUGAUGUGAUUGUGAGCUAUGCAGAACAAAAUUUCGCCAGUAGAAAUGGUGAAAGCGGCAUAUCUCUAAUAUAUAGUUUCUUGUUUCUUUUUAUGUCUUUGACAUGUUAUGGCAAUCUAUAUUAGAACUUGUGGACUUGGAACUAACGAGUGAUAAUGCUUUGAGUCAUUGCAUUAUUUACCACUUCCAAAUUCUAAGUUAGUUGACGAAAUCUUAUUUUAACAAACAGCAUGCUGUUUACCGAAAAAGGCUUUCGCCCUGCUUUAUAAAUAAAGCAAACCGCCACAGAGCACACAUACAUGGACUAGUUCAAACACACGCACCCAAGUCUCACACACAAGUACGAAGGUUCUGCUGAGGGCACAGCUCAACAAGCCCAAAAAAACUAAAAGAAAAGAGCCGGCUUGCCAAUACAAAGAUAAACAUGGCUGCCCAUGCAACCAAUUGCUAUCAAGUUUUUCUAACGC